rnacentral:rRNA from 1 species
AAAAAAUUUCUCUAACGGGAACCCUAACGGGCAUUUAUAUGACUAUGAUUGCAUAUAAGUAUAAUUGUAUUUUUUCUUUCAGGUUUAUCCUAUGAAGUUCUAGAAAGAAAAGGAUAAUGACAUUUUUUUUCUAUAGGUCUUGACCAACACACGUGCCAGCAGUCGCGGUAAUACGUGGGAGACUAGUGUUAAUCAUCUUUAUUGGGUUUAAAGGGUACCUAGACGGUCAAUUUCGCCUCCAAAAAGGUACGAUUUGGACUAGAGUUUUAUGGGAAAGGAGAUAUGGAAUUAGCAGAGAAGAGAUAAAAUUUGAAGAUACUGUUAAGAACCGAUAACGGCGAAAGCAAUCCUUUAUGUAAAAACUGACGUUAAGGGACGAAGGCUUGGGGAGCAAACAGGAUUAGAUACCCUGGUAGUCCAAGCAGUAAAUUAUGAGUGCCAUGUGUUAGAUAAAAUUUUGAUGCAUAAAUGAAAGUGUAAGCAUUCCACCUCAAGAGUAAAGCGGCAACGCCGGAACUGAAAUCAUUAGACCGUUUCUGUGACCAGUAGUGAAGCAUGUUGUUUAAUUUGAUGAUCCGCAAAAAACCUUACCACAGCUUGAAUAGCGUAGUGUAUUCACUACAUACAGGUACUGCAUGGCUGUCUUCAGUUAAUGUCGUGAGACACAGGUUAAUUCCGUUAAAUUAACGAAAACCCCUGCUUUAUUUGUUUUUAUAAAGCAAUACUCUAAUACAAUGGGUAUGAUAAGAGGGAGCAAGACAAGUAAUCACGGUCCU